UUUUCCUUUCUAUUUAUUUUAUCUCACCUCUGUCUCACCUCUCUCUCAACUCUCAACUCUCACCUCUCUGCAAUUACCAAAAAAAACUCUCACCUCUCUGCCUCACCGCCGCCGGCCCACCCGAAGCUCAACGUCACCGGCCCUCGCCCUUGACCCACUCCGUCGAACCAAGCCGCUGACCCACUCCAUCGACCCACGCCGUAGACCCAUCUUGAAGUCUCUGCUCUGACCUUGCCGUCACAGACCCACGACAAAGAGCUCCUUCUACUUGCAGCUGCUAUCUCUCUCAUCACUUUCACUACUCCACAAACCCAUCUACUAUUCCUGAAAGAAAGAGAAACUAUGGCGGAAGGAGCUUUGUUCGAUCUUGCUGGGAAAGUCAUUAAUGUGCUGGGCUCUCUCAUUGCUGAAGAGGUCAAACUGGCCUUUGGUGUCAAAACUGAGAUUGAAAAUCUAAAGAGCACAGUCUCCACGAUCCAAGCUGUGCUUCUGGAUGCAGAAAAGCGGAGUUCUCAUAGCCAUCAGAUCAAAGACUGGCUCAGUAAGCUCAAAGAUGUCCUCCAUGAUGCUGAUGACUUGCUGGAUGAUUUCUCCACCCAAGUUUUGCGCCAAAAAGUGAUGUCUGGAAACAGAAUGAAAAAGGAGGUACGCAUUUUCUUUUCAAGUUCAAACCAGCUUGCUUUUAGUCUUAAAAUGGGUCAUGAAAUAAAAGCAAUUAGUGAGAGACUAAAUGCCAUUGAAAAAGAGAAGAAGGCUUAUGACUUUAGUCAAAGCUUGGUUGAGCCACAAGUCAUGAAUAGGGGCAGAGAAACUUAUUCUUUUGUACUCAAAGAUGAAGUUAUUGGGAGAGAGCAUGAUAAGGAAGAGAUUAUGAAACGUCUUUUUGAUGACAGUGUUAAAGAGAAUAUUUCUAUCAUUCCAAUUGUUGGUAUCGGAGGAUUGGGCAAGACAACACUAGCUCAACUGGUAUACAAUGAUGAAGAUGUUCAAACAAAGUUUAAGAUAAAACUUUGGGUUUGUAUCUCUGAUAUCUUUGAUGUACAGCGGAUUGUUAAAGAAAUUGUGGAACAGUUGACAGAGGAGAAGCAAGAAGGAAGCCUUGAGAUCUUGCAAAAUAAGCUUCGAGAAGAACUUAAUGGAAAAAAUUACUUGAUUAUCUUGGACGAUUUGUGGAAUGAGGACAAUAAUAAAUGGCUUCUCUUGAGAAAUUUGUUAAUGGGUGGGGCAAUAGGAAGUAGGAUAGUGGUAACUACUUGCUCUUCGAAGGUAGCAGAGAUUACUGGCACAACUUCACCUCAUGAACUUAAAGGCUUAGCUCCAGAAAAGGCUUGGUCAUUAUUUGUUAAAAUGGCAUUUAAAGAAGGUAAAGAGCCGGAAAACUUAGUAGCCCUAGGAAAACAGAUUGUGGAAAAGUGUAUUGGGGUGCCUCUCGCUAUAAGAACAAUAGGAAGCUUAUUGUAUGGUAAAACCAUUGAAAUUGAGUGGCAAUCUUUUUUAGAAGAUGAACUCUCAAAAGUAAGCCAACAAGAAAAUAACAUUUCAUUAACUCUUAAGUUGAGUUAUGAUCACCUUCCGUCACACUUGAAGCAAUGUUUUGGUUAUUGUAGAUUGUUUCCAAAAGAUUAUAGGAUUGAUGUAAAUACACUCAUUAAUCUUUGGAUAGCGCAAGGCUUUAUUGUGUUAGAAGGUCCAAGACAACGUUUUGUGGAUAUUGGAAGAAAAUAUUUUAUGGAAUUACUUUGGAGAUCGUUUUUUCAAGAUGUAGAAAAUGAUUAUUUGGGCAGUAUAGAAUCAUGUAAGAUGCAUGAUCUCAUGCAUGAUCUUGCAAUUCUUGUGUCUGGAACGGAAAGUGCCAUAUUAAAUUCAAGUGGGGAAAAUGUGAUUGAAAAAGUUCAUCAUGUAUCAUUUGAUCUAGUGGAUUCAUCGAGUCAAUUUUCAAUCCCCGUGGCUAAUAAAAGGAAGAUACGAACAAUUCUUGCAGCUAGUGUAGGGGGAAAGUUGGGUAACUUAACUUGUGAUGCAUUUAUUUCAAAUCUCAAUUAUUUACGCACAUUAGAUUUGAGUUGUUUUGGGCUACAUGUAGUGCCCCAUUCAAUUGGGGAAUUGAGUCAUUUAAGAUAUCUUGAUCUUUCUGAAAAUGAACAUAUUGCGGUUCUCCCUAAUUCCAUUACCAAGCUGCUAAAUUUACGGACGCUGAAACUCUAUUCUUGUGGUUCACUUAAAGAGUUACCGCGGGGCCUUAAGAAGUUGGUCAAUCUUAGGCAUUUAGACGUUAGUAGGUGCUACGAAUUGACGCAUAUGCCCCUUGGACUUGGGCAUCUUACUUCUCUUGAGAUACUAACGAGGUUCGUCGUGAGGCAAGGGGGUUCCAAGGCCUGCUCGUAUGGUUGGUAUAAGAAAAAACAGGCUGAGUCUGGUGGUGGGCUAAGUGAAUUGAAGGAGCUGAGCAAUUUGGGAGGAAGUCUAGAGAUUUGCAAUUUGGGACAUGGAGAAGAUGACAUGGUGGAAUGUAAAGCCACAAAUAUGAAGCAGAAACAACAUCUUCAACAGCUGCGAUUAGAUUGGAGUUAUGAUGAUGGAGAAACUGAAUGUUAUGAUGACAUGUCACUGGAAGGGCUCCAGCCACAUCCAAAUCUUAAAGCGUUGGAAUUGUUUUAUUAUAGGGGUGUGAGAAUUCCAAGUUGGGUCUCUUCUCUCACUAAUCUUGUUCAUUUUAAAUUACAUUGGAAUAGGAGAUUGCAGCACCUCCCACCGUUAAAUCAACUCCCUUUUCUCAAGUAUGUCUCUCUUAGGGGAAUGGGAGCAGUUGAAUACAUUUCAGAUGAAGACAGUGUUAGUAACGUGUUGGGUGCUUCCUCUUCUUCUUCUUCUUCUUCUUCAAAAACACCAUUCUUCCCAUCCUUAUCUUCUCUAUAUAUAAGGAGAUGCCCAAAACUGAAGGGAUGGUGGAGGAAUUCAGAUGAUGAUGAUGAUAAUGAGCCACACCAUCUCUUACUUCCAUCAUUUCCUCCUUCUCUUUCUACAUUACAGAUUGACAGUUGCCCUAACCUGACUUCCAUACCCCUGAUUCCCCCCUCUCUGAAAAAUCCAAUUAUUGGUGGUUGUCCCCUCUUACGGCUACACGAAGGAAACAGUGAAGAUUGUCCCAAAUAAUUCAACAAGAAAAAACAAUUUAUUCAGAAUCUGAUUUAGAAUUAGAGUCGGUUUGUUCACUUCCAGAGGGGGAAUUAGCUUGUUUUGCAGGAUCAAGGAAUUGACUCCAAUCGCUUCGUCUCUUGUUAUUAUGAACGCGAUCGUCGUGGACAAUAUCCUCUUCUUCUUCUUCUUCUUGGAAUUGUGGAAGUGGAAGUGGGGGUGGUUCGGUAAUGGCGCGGGACAUGUUGAAGGACUGGAUGAAGCUGCGGAGGUCCUUGGCGACGAAUCCCUGCGCGAACACUUUGCAAACAGACUGCAUUUGGUUGCACACCACGCACCUCCACUUGCUGAUUUUCUUCUUCUUCUUCUGUUGCUGCUGCUUCACCUGAGACAAAAUCUCAACUUCCAUCAAAUCACAAUCAAAUGAGAUAGAGUCUAGCUGGUUUAUUUAGUCUAGUGUGUCUGGACAUGCACAAAUCUAAUGACUCUGUUUGAAUAUUGGGCAACAUUGCGCAUGUUCUUUUCAUUAAUCAAUGCAAAGAAGAGGAGACCAACAUGCAGGGCCCCCACACUAGUAGGGGGGAUAGUGGACGUGGAACUUAUAAGCCAUUGAGAGGUAGAACGAGUGAGGAUGGUUGAGACAUGAUUGGUAAGAGAAGCAGUUUGAUUAAAUAUCCCAAAGAUGGAGUAAUUCACUGCAAAGCAAUGCAGAGGUAAGGAGUAAUUCUAGCCUUUGAACUAUUCUUAACUUAUCAUUUUUGUGCCAAUAACCAAAACAUUAUAUAGGAAUCAAUAUGAAAAAUUUUCUUGUAGAUCAUUUAGAAUGGUGAAUUAAAUACAUUGCCACACAUUUGAUAAAUUAAUGGUUUAAUUGGCCGGUUCUAUAUGUUUUUGGGGUUUUUAAAUAUUUUAGGGUUAUUAUCUAGUACUAAUCUCACCAAGGGAGAGGUAGCUUGAUACAGCCCUACUAGUAGGACUUGCCCUGAAGUAUACUCUUUUAUGAUACUAAAGACAUGCGUUUUAUUACAAAAAUGAGCGGAAGUUGUUUCUAAUUUUUUUAUAUACUUUUUUUUUAAAGAUGUUGCUGUUUGAAUAUUUAGAGAUCCAUACCGUGUGUGCAGUUACGCAGUUUAGACUAGUUCUGUAUGUCAACCUUUUUUGUGAUCUGAAUGCUAAAAUUAAGGACCACUAAAUAAUUAAUCAAUUCAAAGGAAGGGCACUAGUGCCAUGAGAUUAACAUCUUUUUGCUGAAGAAAUAUACAUAUGAUUCUGUAGUAUACUAAUUAAGCCGCACCCUUCACAAAUUAUCAAAUGUAAUUUUGUUCCUUUUUUUCCCCUCUCUUUAUUUAUCUCUUUAAAGGCCUUUUUAAAAAAAUAUUUGUAACGAAAUUCUAACUACGUGAUUUCAUUUGUAGAAUGAAUUGCGAUACUAAACUAUAGGGCUCAAGUAUUGAUACUAUUCAUCAUAUGCAUACUAAAAUCCUUUACCAAGGCAGUGAUAUAUAUUCCAUUUCAUGACUAGAUUGCACUCUCUUCUAUUGUACUUUUAUUCUGCAUCUGAUAUCUCCAUGUCCUUUUAUUUUCUUCUUUUCUACAGAAUUGUAGCUCAUACUUAGUUGACAGGUGUUUGCAUUUCGUUUCCUUAUUAUGCAAUAUAUAGACCAAAUGAUGCCUGGCACUUCUUGACCUUGAGUUACAAUUGUUCAAGGGGGUGAAUCCUGAAUAAAAUGCUCAGGGAAUUGGCAUGGAGCUAUUAUCCAUGUUAGCUAUCCUUAAUAUUUUACUGGAAAACGGUCACUAAUUUUCACCUUGUAUGUAGUCCUUGAGAAGAUUUCACAGAAUAACUCCUUUUUUUUUUUUUUUCUCAAUUUUUUUUUCUAUAGCUUAGUGUGCAUCAAAAGCACCAGUAUGCUUUAGAGUUUAAAGUCGCAAAAUUCUAGGGAUAAUUUAACUUUAUGCUUCAUUCAAUUGGCAAGAAAGAUCAAGAACAGAAACAAUCAUGUGGAAAUUUAAUUAUUUAGCACAAAUCAUUUGGAAAUUUUGUAUUUCUAAAAUGUGUGAUGAAUACUUUGCCCAUUUUUCUUUCUCAAAUAAUGGAUCAAAAGAUUGCUGUUGCCCCAAAUAUUCUAACCAGGUCCAGAAGGAUCUCACCCCAUUAGCUGCAUAGGUUCUUAAAUCCUUCGACCUCUACCUCAUAUAUUUAUUGAACCACAUCUUGAUCAGUUGUGCUCUCUUUAAGUUGUUCUCUUUCAAGAGCACUAUUUUAUUGAAUUUCUAAAUUAUUUGUUUUUGUAUAUAAACAGAGGGGGGUGGCAUUGAAACCAAAAGGAUUUUCAAAGAUGGUUCUACAAAAAUCAAGCAUCAACUUUCAAUAGAUUGAUUUUUAACAGGUGAAUUCUUAAUUUUGUUGUUUUCUCUUUUUGUGCUGUCUGGAGCUCAUUGUUGUGUACAAGUAGGUGACUAAUCCCAUUUAAUCUUACAUUUAAAAGAAUGAGUGUGGAACACAAUCUGCAAAAGUCUUAAAAGUUAUAUAUUUGUUUUUCGGUUGUCAAUUUCAAGUGUAGGGCAAAUUCAUGCUUGCUUUGUUGAUGGCUUUUGAGACUUCCACAACAAAGGACCUCUUUGGUGCUAGGGUGGAUGGAGGUCACUGUGUCGUAUUUGAAGAAGGUGUGAAGUGUGAAGAUGAUCCAUAUAUGUGUAUUCUAGAGAAAAGGGAAAGGGAGCAUUUUUCAUAAGGGACUAGAAUUAGGGUGAUAAAGCCGCUUGGUGAAGUUGUUUGUCAUGGAAGAUAUGGCAACUAGAGCUUUGUCGACCCAUAUGCUCUUUACAAGCAAGUUUUCAGAAGCAUAUUUGCCUUAAUUUCUUAAGGUGAGCCAUUGUUUUGGGUUAAAUAUAGAGGCAAAUAGAGAUGAAAGUUACUCUAAGAAUGCAACCUGUCUCAUAACCCCUAAUUUGUGAAACUUCAGCCUACAUGUUUGUUUGUGGAUGUCAGCCAUUAUACAGCCGUGUAGUUCCCCAUUGAAGGGUUGUCAAACGGUGACUAUACAGCACUAAGCAAACAAAGUCUUGAAUCUAGCUAUCACAAUGAAUAUGUUUAAGAUCACAUAAUGAUGUGGAAUGGUCAUAUUAGUCCCUUUGGAGAAGUAUUAGUCACCUUCAACUGUUUUGUUAGAGAAAUGAGGACAAUUGAGUAGAUCUAGUUAGUCCAACCGGAAUGCUGAAAUUGCAAUUCUCAACUUGUUGAUUAAUAUUGCCAAGUAGACGGUCAAGUAUAUGUAUUUCACUUCAAAAUUUUUAAUUUGGGUGGCCAAUUUUGUGUGAGGUUUUGGUGGAUCAACUUAUUGGGUUCCUCUUGCAAUUAUAACUUGGGAGCUCUUUGUACUUGUAUGUAUACCAAUUAAUGUUUGGAGGUUUUAUUUA